rnacentral:rRNA from 1 species
AUUGAACGCUGGCGGCAGGCCUAACACAUGCAAGUCGAACGAGUGGCGGACGGGUGAGUAAUGUCUGGGAAACUGCCUGAUGGGGGGGGGUAACUAAUGGAAAAGGUAGCUAAAUCCGCAUACCCUCAUAUGUGCCCAGAUGGGAUUAGCUGGUUGGGGGGGUAACGGCUCACCAGGGGGACGAUCCCUAGCUGGUCUGAGCGGAUGACCGGCCAAACUGGAACUGAGACACGGCCCAGCUCCCUACGGGAGGCAGCGUGGGGAAAUAUUGGACAAGGGGCGCAAUCCUGAUGCAGCCAUGCCGCGGGUAUGAGGAGGGCUUUCGGGUUGAAAAGUACGUUAAGCGGGGAGGCGUUACCCGCAGAAGAAGCACCGGCUAACUCCGUGCCAGCAGCCGCGGUAAUUC